rnacentral:pre_miRNA from 13 species
ACGGGGUGAGGUAGUAGGUUGUGUGGUUUCAGGGCGGUGAUGUCGCCCCUCAGCAGAUAACUAUACAGCCUACUGCCUUCCCUGA